rnacentral:rRNA from 1 species
GUGAACGCUGGCGGUAGGCCUAACACAUGCAAGUCGAACGGCAGCACAGUAAGAGCUUGCUCUUACGGGUGGCGAGUGGCGGACGGGUGAGGAAUACAUCGGAAUCUACUUUUUCGUGGGGGAUAACGUAGGGAAACUUACGCUAAUACCGCAUACGACCUACUGGUGAAAGCAGGCGAUCUUCGGACCUUGCGCGAUUGACUGAGCCGAUGUCGGAUUAGCUAGUUGGCGGGGUAAAGGCCCACCACGGCGACGAUCCGUAGCUGGUCUGAGAGGGGGAUAGGCCACACGGGAAAGGAGAAAAGGCAAAGACUACUACGGGAGGCAGAAGUGGGGAAUGUUGAAAAAAGGGCGAAAGCCGGAACGAGCAAAGCCGGGGGGGAGAAGAAGGCCUGCGGGUAGUAAAGCCUUGUUGUGAGGAAAGAAAAAGAAAAGGAGAAACCCGCGGUGUCGUGACGGUACAAAAAGAGAAAGCCCCGGCAAACUACGUG